rnacentral:rRNA from 1 species
GACGAACGCUGGCGGCGUGCCUAAUACAUGCAAGUAGAACGCUGAAGGAGGAGCUUGCUUCUCCGGAUGAGUUGCGAACGGGUGAGUAACGCAUAGGUAACCUGCCUGGUAGCGGGGGAUAACUAUUGGAAACGAUAGCUAAUACCGCAUAAGAGUAGAUGUUGCAUGACAUUUACUUAAAAGGUGCAAUUGCAUCACUACCAGAUGGACCUGCGUUGUAUUAGCUAGUUGGUGGGGUAACGGCUCACCAAGGCGACGAUACAUAGCCGACCUGAGAGGGUGAUCGGCCACACUGGGACUGAGACACGGCCCAGACUCCUACGGGAGGCAGCAGUAGGGAAUCUUCGGCAAUGGACGGAAGUCUGACCGAGCAACGCCGCGUGAGUGAAGAAGGUUUUCGGAUCGUAAAGCUCUGUUGUAAGAGAAGAACGAGUGUGAGAGUGGGAAGUUCACAC